GCGGGGGUCCCCUAGCCAGGUCGAUGGGGGCAGGCUCAAGACCUGCUGGCGUAGGCCUUCGUGGGUUCAAAUCCCACCCCCCGCA
rnacentral:tRNA from 2 species